AUGCUCGCUUCGGCAGCACAUGUACUAAAAUUGGAACGAUACAGAGAAGAUAAGCAUGGGUGCACAAGGGUGACACGCAAAUUUGUGAAGCGUGUUGUGUUUUU
rfam:Pteropus alecto contig54854, whole genome shotgun sequence.